rnacentral:rRNA from 1 species
CCUACGGGGGGCUGCAGUGGGGAAUAUUGGACAAUGGGGGGAACCCUGAUCCAGCCAUGCCGCGUGUGUGAAGAAGGCCCUCGGGUUGUAAAGCACUUUCAGUGAGGAAGAACGCCUGGUGGUUAAUACCCAUCAGGAAAGACAUCACUCACAGAAGAAGCACCGGCUAACUCCGUGCCAGCAGCCGCGGUAAUACGGAGGGUGCGAGCGUUAAUCGGAAUUACUGGGCGUAAAGCGCGCGUAGGUGGCUUGAUAAGCCGGUUGUGAAAGCCCCGGGCUCAACAUGGGAACGGCAUCCGGAACUGUCAAGCUAGAGUGCAGGAGAGGAAGGUAGAAUUCCCGGUGUAGCGGUGAAAUGCGUAGAGAUCGGGAGGAAUACCAGUGGCGAAGGCGGCCUUCUGGACUGACACUGACACUGAGGUGCGAAAGCGUGGGUAGCAAACAGGAUUAGAUACCCCUGUAGUC